UGUAAUUUAUAAAAAAUAUUUAAUUUGCACUUAAAAAAAACCCCGGGGUUUGUCUUAAAACA
rnacentral:tRNA from 1 species